AACAUAAAUGUAGUUUCUAAUAUUUGUUGUAUCUGACGCUAUUUAUUUGACGUCUGUUUGGCGUCUUCAGCCACGUGAUAAUUUGCGGCGUUCGUUGACGUCAACGUCAUACUUGUUUAUACUUCCGCCCAGACUUUGAAACGUUAACUGAACUGAACGUUAACUGUGGACAUUAAUUAUUCUGAUGAGACUUGAUGAGUAAGAGACCAAAUUCGAGAAUCGCUAUAUCUAGAGAAAUAAAAGAGUAAAGGUGCAUCUCUCGUUUAGUCACUGAGUUGAUCCAAGUCCCAGAACACCAGGUAUACACUUACCUCAUUCCCAUUUCAGAAACUCUGAAGUGUCACUGUCAAAUUGACAAUUUAUCAUGCCAAUGGAAAGACGAGCGAGGGCACGCAGGCGGGCGGAAAGGGCACCAAGGAGACAACGAGAAAGGCCACCAGCGAGGGGUGCUAUCGGAGGGCUGAGGUGCAGAAUGCCCUGCAAAGUGCUGGCAACAGGGACAACUCUCCACCACGACCAGCACCACCAGAACUACCAGUCCGGCAGUUUGCUUCAAUCUGCUGAAGUUCAGACAGACGACACGGCCAAUGGUGGUCAUGAAGAGGUCAACUUUCUACUUGAACAUGUUAUCUGGAUUGUUGGCUCAUCUAUACCACACUGGGCAAAUAAAAGGGCUGCUUACAGAUCUACAGGCUCCUUUGGCCUUAAAGACUGCAAAGUCUCAUGGUUCACGAGAGGAGGUAUGAUGUGGCCAGAAGUACUUACUUUAGUCUCGAGAAAGCUUCCGGACUGUACAAACCAGAUGCUAUAGUCAUCCACUGCGGCGGCAACUCACUUGGUAAGAUACCAAAAGGUUUCUUGACAAAACAAGUAAGAGAUGAUCUGUCCGAAAUACGCAAGUUAGCUGGUUCAACAACUCUUUUAAUUUGGUCAAACAUAUUGCCUAGAUUAAACUGGCUUUCAAAUAUUUAUGUUGGAAGACUAGAAGACUGUAGGAAAAGAGUAAACGGUGCUGCAGCUCUACAAGUUUUUAGAUUAGGCGGUUGUUGGAUUAAGCAUUGUCAGAUCACUGCAGAUACGCCUGGUUUAAUUAGAUCAGAUGGUGUUCACUUAUCUGAUGUAGGUCUUGACAUUUUUAAUUUAUCAAUCAAGGAAGCUAUUGAAACUUGAAAGCAGUAUUUGUAUGAAACCUUCCUUUCCCCCAUCACUUAUUUGGGUCUAUUUUAUUUUCAUAAAAUAUGCAGUGGCCCUCAACACACUAAAGUGCAUUUCGGUAUGUGUCAUAUGUUUGUAAAUUUGCCAGGCUAUCAUCUUACGCCAAUAUUUAAAGUUAAUAGGAAACCGUUUCAAGAUAUAGUUUUGUGCUGUUUUGCCUUGCUUUCUCUUUUGCAAUGAAUUUUGACUCUCUGCCAUUCGCCAGGUCAACAUUCUGAGCUUAUUUAUAUACUGCUGUCACUUUGCGCAUAUAUUAUAUCGCUUGGCAUUUUAGCUGGCGAUACUUUUUUCUCAGAUAUGUUAUUUUGUUUUCUAUUCAGUAUAGCAUUUUGUAUAUUAAAUUUUUUUACAUGCUUGAAAAAUAAUAUACUUUUAAUAAUAAAGUCAUGGCCUUAUCACACUAAAUUCUGACUUGCUUUUAAUUUAAUUCUCUUAUUUUAAAUAAGUUAUGGUUUACAUCUAUUAUCUUAUAAAAGUAGCGAGCUCUUAAUUGCAUAUUCUCAUCCCGUAUGUUUAGGUUUCAAAGAAUAGUUUGGUUAAUAUGAAAUAGAAUGCAGUUUUGGGCUCGCUGCCUUUUAGUUUUUCGUCACCAGUAAAAUAAAUGCAAACAUAUACUCUUUUCUUGAGGCAAUAUGCGCACAAUAAUUGAAUAACAUUGAAAACUUGUCUAUGGAUAAUACAUUAUCCGUGUCCAUGAUAACAAAUAUAAAUAAACUUACUAAUAUACCGAAUUUAAAACAAUUACCGUAAAUGAAACAAAUAUGUAACUAUUCUGAUGUUCUGACCUCAUAAUGGAUAAAAAAUCCCUAUCCUUAGGGGAAUACAAAACAUAAUUUAGAACUAGAAACUGACCAUAACAUUUGUUUUUCAUACCUGCAUAACUUGAGGAAGAAAAUAAGACACAUGUAUCAAUAUGUAUCAACUUCUUCAAGUACUUUUCUGUUUACCUGCUUGUAAUGCGCAUAUAAAGUCACAUUGGUAUGAGUACCUUUUACAACAGUUUUAUUGUUAAACACCAAUAAUUGUCAUUC